rnacentral:tRNA from 1 species
UUUAAUAUGGCAGACUAGUGCAAUGAACUUAAACUUCAUAUAUAAAGAUUUAUUCUUUUAUUAAAA